GCCCCCAUCGUCUAGCGGCCCAGGACAACACCCUUUCAAGGUGUAGAUCGCGGGUUCGAAUCCCGCUGGGGGUACCA
rnacentral:tRNA from 1 species